ensembl:ncRNA lncRNA:CR43247 long non-coding RNA:CR43247
GGUAAAUGUCAAGUCAGCCCAUUUGGCAGCAUUUUUUUUUACUCUUACAAUUUUUUGUCAUCUGAUUGUUUACAUUUUGGCGUAUUUUGACAACUAAAUUGGUGGUCGAAGGACUUCAUCUUAUUUCCCACCCAAGUUGGCCACAUGUUCGAUUUCCGGCUGCCACCUUUUCAUAACCCACAGAACUGUGGCCAGGACUACUUUUAUGGGAAUCGGACCGAGCUGAGCUGAACUGAGGCGAGGCGAGGAGAACUGAAUGUGGACGUCUCGAAGGUCGACCGGGCAAUUACUUGGCUAAAAUGCUCCGUACCAACUGGUGCAAUUGCAGCUACCGCUUUUCCUCCUUGCAUCCUUUUCUCGAUUCGUCCUUGGCUUGUGCAAUUUUCUUUGGGCACAACUGUCAUUAUGGACUUUGGUCAGGCUGCAUUCAAGAUUUGUUGCAAUUUAUAUUUGCCGUGGUGGCUGGGGAGGCGAAACCGCAGCCUCCUUCUGCGCUCGGCAUGUGGAAAGAUAUUUCCCAAUAAAAAUUGGGUUAGUUGCGGAAUUUCCGUAUAUUAAAUAUU